rnacentral:rRNA from 1 species
GUAGGUGGCAAGCGUUGUCCGGAAUUAUUGGGCGUAAAGCGCGCGCAGGGCGGUCCUUUAAGUCUGAUGUGAAAGCCCACGGCUCAACCGUGGAGGGUCAUUGGAAACUGGGGGACUUGAGUACAGAAGAGGAAAGCGGAAUUCCAAGUGUAGCGGUGAAAUGCGUAGAGAUUUGGAGGAACACCAGUGGCGAAGGCGGCUUUCUGGUCUGUAACUGACGCUGAGGCGCGAAAGCGUGGGGAGCAAACAGGAUUAGAUACCCUGGUAGUCCACGCCGUAAACGAUGAGUGCUAAGUGUUAGGGGGUUUCCGCCCCUUAGUGCUGCAGCUAACGCAUUAAGCACUCCGCCUGGGGAGUACGGCCGCAAGGCCG